rnacentral:rRNA from 1 species
CGCCUCUUGACUCUUAUAAGAGGUCCAGCCUGCCCAGUGACCAUGUUCAACGGCCGCGGUAUCCUAACCGUGCGAAGGUAGCGUAAUCACUUGUUCUUUAAAUGCGGACUAGUAUGAAUGGCACCACGAAGGUUAUACUGUCUCCUUUUUCUAAUCAGUGAAACUAAUCUCCCCGUGAAGAAGCGAGGAUAUACCUAUAAGACGAGAAGACCCUAUGGAGCUUUAAACAACACAGCAAUUACCUGCUAAACUAAGAAGUUUCUGAACAUUUUCAAUCUUUUAAGUAAUCUGACUGCAAGUUUUUGGUUGGGGUGACCAUGGAGCAUAACACAACCUCCAUGUUGAAAGAAUUCUUUCUAAGCCAAGAACAACCUUUCUAAGCAUCAAUAUAUUGACAUCCAUUGACCCAAUACAUUUGACCAACGAACCAAGUUACCCUAGGGAUAACAGCGCAAUCCACUUCAAGAGCUCCUAUCGACAAGUGGGUUUACGACCUCGAUGUUGGAUCAGGGUAUCCCAGUGGUGCAGCCGCUACUAAAGGUUCGUUUGUUCAACGAUUAAAACCCUA